CAGCCAUUUUUAUUUUUUUUGUACAUAUGUUACCGAAUAACUUUGGUCGACGUUAACCCAUUUCUACAAUUCUUUUCUUAAAGGAAAUGUGGUACCCUCAUAAGCGUCGGCUUUGUUUUUUGCUUAAA